UAGUUAUGUUCUGGAUGCUGAUUGAU
rnacentral:piRNA from 1 species